rnacentral:rRNA from 1 species
UUGGAGGGCAAGUCUGGUGCCAGCAGCCGCGGUAAUUCCAGCUCCAAUAGCGUAUAUUAAAGUUGUUGCAGUUAAAAAGCUCGUAGUUGAACUUCGGGAUCAAUGGAUCGGUCAUGCCAUCGGUAUGUACUGGUCUCAUUGGUUCUCACCUUCUAAGGAACCAUAAUGUCAUUCAUUUGAUGUUGUGGGGAAUUAGGACUGUUACCUUGAAAAAAUUAGAGUGUUUAAAGCAGGCUAACGCUUGAAUACAUUAGCAUGGAAUAAUGAAAUAGGACAUCGCAUUCUAUUUUGUUGGUUUCUAGGAUCGAUGUAAUGAUUAAUAGGGAUAGUUGGGGGCAUUAGUAUUCAAUUGUCAGAGGUGAAAUUCUUGGAUUUAUUGAAGACUAACUACUGCGAAAGCAUUUGCCAAGGAUGUUUUCAUUAAUCAAGAACGAAAGUUAGGGGAUCGAAGACGAUCAGAUACCGUCGUAGUCUUAACCAUAAACUAUGCCGACUAGGGAUCGGAUGAUGUUGAUUUUUUAAUGACUCAUUCGGCGCCUUACGGGAAAC